GCUGGGUGCGAUGGCUCACGCCUGUAAUCCCAGCAUUUUGGGAGGCUGAGGCAGGUGGAUCACUUGAGGUCAGGAGUUCAAGACCAGCCUGGCCAACGUGGCAAAACCCUGUCUCUAUUAAAAAUACAAAAAUUAGCUGGGGGUGGUGGUGGAUGCCUGUAAUCCCAGCUACUUGGGAGGCUGAGGCAGGAGAAUCACUUGAACCUGGGAGGCAGAGGUUGCAGUGAGCCGAGAUCACGCCACUGUACUCCAGCCUGGGUGACAAAGCGAGACUCCAUCUCA
rnacentral:sRNA from 1 species